GCAUUCGUGUCUAUCGAACAUUUUAGCAUCUGAAGCCUGUGGUAGCCAGCUGGUCCCGAAGUCAUCUGGGAUACAUUUAUUUUGAUUAAAUUGAUCAGAUUUCUAUUUACAGGAUAGAAUCUUUCCCCCAUACUGAAUACAGCUGUGUUUACAGGGAUUUGGAGGAGAAGAAGAAAACAAAACCCCGCAAUCAGCCCUAGCAAAGCGCAGAGCACUCAGAGCUCCAAGGAGUUAACGCUGAGGGGUCUUGCUUUCACAUUAACAAGAAAAUUCUGCAUGCAGCUGCUUUGGCCAUCGUCUCUAGCUAGUCAGGAAAUGGGUGUUGAGCUGAAGCUGAAAAUACAAGCUGCAAUCAAGCCCGGUCCAGCCAAGUGACAGACUUCCUGUGUAAAAUGACCGGGAAUGCAGACCAAGCGGCAGACGACCAAGCGGCAUCCGGCACCUCCUCUUGCCUUUCACGCGCUCCCCUGUCUCUCUCCAGCUCUGCCUCGCCGGGCAGACGCAGCAGAUACCUGGUUCGUCCAUCUUCGGCUCUACUCAGCUUCAGCCUCUUCCAGCCGCAAGGGGCCCCGGCCAGAGCUCCGGAGCAGGUCCUCCUUGGGCGCUGUGCAGACCGCCGCUCCGGGUUCAGAUGCACCUGCACCCUGGCGAAGCCGAGGCGGGGACACCGCAGGAGCAGC